UUGCCCCUACGGGGCGCAGCAGUGGGGGAUAUUGCACAAUGGGGGGAACCCUGAUGCAGCGACGCCGCGUGGGCGAUGGAGUACUUCGGUAUGUAAAGCCCUAUCAGCAGGGAAGAAAAUGACGGUACCUGACUAAGAAGCCCCGGCUAAAUACGUGCCAGCAGCCGCGGUAAUACGUAUGGGGCAAGCGUUAUCCGGAUUUACUGGGUGUAAAGGGAGCGUAGGCGGCCUGGCAAGCCUGAUGUGAAAUACCGGUGCCCAACCCCGGGGCUGCAUUGGGAACUGCCAGGCUGGAGCGCCGGAGA
rnacentral:rRNA from 1 species